rnacentral:rRNA from 1 species
CGGAACGGGUGAGUAAGCGUGAGGAACCUGCCUCAAAGAGGGGGACAACAGUUGGAAACGACUGCUAAUACCGCAUAAGCCCACGGCUCGGCAUCGAGCAGAGGGAAAAGGAGUGAUCCGCUUUGAGAUGGCCUCGCGUCCGAUUAGCUAGUUGGUGAGGUAACGGCCCACCAAGGCGACGAUCGGUAGCCGGACUGGGAGGUUGAACGGCCACAUUGGGACUGAGACACGGCCCAG